CCUACGGGAGGCAGCAGUGAGGAAUAUUGGUCAAUGGACGCAAGUCUGAACCAGCCAUGCCGCGUGCAGGAAGACGGCUCUAUGAGUUGUAAACUGCUUUUGUACGAGGGUAAACGCAGAUACGCGUAUCUGUCUGAGAGUAUCGUACGAAUAAGGAUCGGCUAACUCCGUGCCAGCAGCCGCGGUAAUACGGGGGGUGCAAGCGUUUUCCGGAAUCAUUGGGCGUAAAGAGUGCGUAGGUGGCACGUUAAGUCUGGUGUUAAAGGCGGAAGCUCAACUUCCGUAGGGCACUGGAUACUGGCGAGCUUGAAUGCGGUAGAGGUAAAGGGAAUUCCUGGUGUAGCGGUGAAAUGCGUAGAUAUCAGGAGGAACAUCGGUGGCGUAAGCGCUUUACUGGGCCGUAAUUGACACUGAGGAACGAAAGCCGGGGUAGCAAAUGGGAUUAGAUACCCUUGUAGUC
rnacentral:rRNA from 1 species